GAUGAACGCUGGCGGCGUGCCUAAUACAUGCAAGUCGAGCGAAUGGAUUAAGAGCUUGCUCUUAUGAAGUUAGCGGCGGACGGGUGAGUAACACGUGGGUAACCUGCCCAUGACUGGGAUAACUCCGGGAAACCGGGGCUAAUACCGGAUAACAUUUUGAACCGCAUGGUUCGAAAUUGAAAGGCGGCUUCGGCUGUCACUUAUGGAUGGACCCGCGUCGCAUUAGCUAGUUGGUGAGGUAACGGCUCACCAAGGCAACGAUGCGUAGCCGACCUGAGAGGGUGAUCGGCCACACUGGGACUGAGACACGGCCCAGACUCCUACGGGAGGCAGCAGUAGGGAAUCUUCCGCAAUGGACGAAAGUCUGACGGAGCAACGCCGCGUGAGUGAUGAAGGCUUUCGGGUCGUAAAACUCUGUUGUUAGGGAAGAACAAGUGCUAGUUGAAUAAGCUGACACCUUGACGGUACCUAACCAGAAAGCCACGGCUAACUACGUGCCAGCCGCCGCAGUAA
rnacentral:rRNA from 1 species